UACGAAGGGGGCUAGCGUUGCUCGGAAUUACUGGGCGUAAAGGGUGCGUAGGCGGGUCUUUAAGUCAGGGGUGAAAUCCUGGAGCUCAACUCCAGAACUGCCUUUGAUACUGAAGAUCUUGAGUUCGGGAGAGGUGAGUGGAACUGCGAGUGUAGAGGUGAAAUUCGUAGAUAUUCGCAAGAACACCAGUGGCGAAGGCGGCUCACUGGCCCGAUACUGACGCUGAGGCACGAAAGCGUGGGGAGCAGACGAGG
rnacentral:rRNA from 1 species